GGGCAUGUAGCUCAGCGGUAGAGCGCCCGCUUAGCAUGCGGGAGGUCUUGGUUUCAAUUACCAACCUGUCCA
rfam:Calocera cornea HHB12733 unplaced genomic scaffold CALCOscaffold_3, whole genome shotgun sequence.